rnacentral:rRNA from 1 species
UACGUAGGGGGCAAGCGUUGUCCGGAUUCAUUGGGCGUAAAGAGCGUGUAGGCGGCCAGGUAGGUCGGUUGUGAAAACUGGAGGCUCAACCUUCAGAGGUCGACCGAAACCAUCUGGCUAGAGUCCGGGAGAGGAGAGUGGAAUUCCUGGUGUAGCGGUGAAAUGCGUAGAGAUCGGGAGGAACACCUGUGGCGAAGGCGGCCGACUGGGCCGACCCUGACGCUGAGGCGCGAAGGCGUGGGGAGCGAACGGG